AACGAACGCUGGCGGCGUGGAUAAGACAUGCAAGUCGGGCGAAGCAUUUUGGGUAGCAAUAUUCAAAGUGUUGAGCGGCGCAAGGGUGCGUAACACGUGGGUAAUCUGCCUUGAAGCUUAGAAUAACUCCGAGAAAUCGGAGCUAAUACUGAAUGAAAUUCUUCAGAGUAAACUCUUAAGAUUUAAAGUUGGGGAUCGUAAGACCUGACGCUUGAAGAUGAGCCUGCGGCCUAUCAGCUAGUUGGUGAGGUAAUUGCUCACCAAGGCAAAGAC
rnacentral:rRNA from 1 species